rnacentral:rRNA from 1 species
UACGAAGGGUGCAAGCGUUACUCGGAAUUACUGGGCGUAAAGCGUGUGCAGGUGGUUUGUUAAGUCUGCUGUGAAAGCCCCGAGCUCAACCUGGGAAUGGCAGUGGAUACUGGCAAGCUGGAGUGCGGUAGAGGGUAGUGGAAUUCCCGGUGUAGCGGUGAAAUGCGUAGAGAUCGGGAGGAACACCAGUGGCGAAGGCGGCUACCUGGACCAGCACUGACACUCAGACACGAAAGCGUGGGGAGCAAACAGG